rnacentral:rRNA from 1 species
AGGACGAACGCUGGCGGCGUGCUCAUACAUGCAAGUCGAACGAGAAAUCAACUUCGGUUGGUGGAAAGUGGCGGACGGGUGAGUAAUGUGUAGAGAAUCUGCCCUAGAGAGAGGGACAACAGUUGGAAACGACUGCUAAUACCUCAUAUGCGCGUAGCUGAGGUGCUAUUCGUGAAAACUCCGGUGCUCUAGGAUGAGUCUGCAUCUGAUUAGCUAGUUGGCGGUGUAAUGGACCACCAAGGCGACGAUCAGUAGCUGGUUUGAGAGGAUGAUCAGCCACAAUGGGACUGAGACACGGCCCAUACUCCUACGGGAGGCAGCAGUAGGGAAUUUUGCGCAAUGGGGGAAACCCUGACGCAAGCAACGCCGCGUGAUCGAAUAAGCCCUUCGGGGUGUAAAGAUCUGUCAGUAGGGACGAAACUUGACGGUACCUACAGAGGAAGCAUCGGCUAACUCCGUGCCAGCCGCAGC